AAUAUUGCGCAAUGGGCGAAAGCCUGACGCAGCGACGCCGCGUGAGUGAUGAAGGCCUUCGGGUUGUAAAGCUCUGUGGGGAGGGAAGAAUAAACGUCGGCUAAUACCCGGCGUGAUGACGGUACCUCCUUAGCAAGCACCGGCUAACUCUGUGCCAGCAGCCGCGGUAAGACAGAGGGUGCAAACGUUGUUCGGAUUUACUGGGCGUAAAGCGCGUGUAGGCGGCCUUGCAAGUUGGAUGUGAAAGCCCACGGCUCAACCGUGGAAGCGCAUCCAAGACUGCAUCGCUCGAGUCUCGGAGAGGAAGGUGGAAUGCUUGGUGUAGAGGUGAAAUUCGUAGAUAUCAAGCAGAACACCUGCGGCGAAGGCGGCCUUCUGGACGAUGACUGACGCUGAGACGCGAAAGCGUGGGGAGCAAAC
rnacentral:rRNA from 1 species